rnacentral:tRNA from 1 species
GUGCGAUUAGCUCAUUUGGUAGAGCGCCCGCUUGACUCGCGGGAGGCGACAGGUUCAAAUCCUGUAUCGCAUA